rnacentral:rRNA from 1 species
UACGGGGGAUGCAAGCGUUAUCCGGAUUUAUUGGGUUUAAAGGGUGCGUAGGCUGUGAGGUAAGUCAGCGGUGAAAAUUCGGGGCUCAACCCCGUCCGGCCGUUGAAACUGGGGGUCUUGAGUGGGCGAGAAGAAGGCGGAAUGCGUGGUGUAGCGGUGAAAUGCAUAGAUAUCACGCAGAACCCCGAUUGCGAAGGCAGCCUUCCGGCGCCCUACUGACGCUGAGGCACGAAAGUGCGGGGAUCGAACAGG